rnacentral:rRNA from 1 species
UACAGAGGGUGCGAGCGUUAAUCGGAGUUACUGGGCGUAAAGGGCGCGUAGGCGGUCGGAUAUGUGUGAUGUGAAAUCCCCGGGCUUAACCUGGGAAGUGCAUCGCAAACUGUUUGACUGGAGUAUAUGAGAGGGUGUCGGAAUUUCCGGUGUAGCGGUGAAAUGCGUAGAGAUCGGAAGGAACGUCGAUGGCGAAGGCAGGCACCUGGCAUAAUACUGACGCUGAGGCGCGAAAGCGUGGGGAGCGAACAGG